rnacentral:rRNA from 1 species
AACGAACGCUGGCGGCAGGCUUAACACAUGCAAGUCGAACGCCUGUAGCAAUACAGGAGUGGCAGACGGGUGAGUAACACGUGGGAACGUGCCCAAAGGUACGGAACAACUCCGGGAAACUGGAGCUAAUACCGUAUGUGCCCGAAAGGGGAAAGAUUCAUCGCCUUUGGAUCGGCCCGCGUCUGAUUAGCUAGUUGGUGGGGUAAUGGCCUACCAAGGCGACGAUCAGUAGCUGGUCUGAGAGUACGGCCAGCCACACUGGGACUGAGACACGGCCCAGACUCCUACGGGAGGCAGCAGUGGGGAAUAUUGGACGAUGGGCGCAAGCCUGAUCCAGCCAUGCCGCGUGAGUGAUGAAGGCCUUAGGGUUGUAAAGCUCUUUCGCCAGGGACGAUAAUGACGGUACCUGGAUAAGAAGCCCCGGCUAACUUCGUGCCAGCCGCCGCGGUAA